rnacentral:rRNA from 1 species
GAUGAACGCUGGCGGCGUGCCUAAUACAUGCAAGUAGAACGCUGAAGCUUGGUGCUUGCACCGAGCGGAUGAGUUGCGAACGGGUGAGUAACGCGUAGGUAACCUGCCUCUUAGCGGGGGAUAACUAUUGGAAACGAUAGCUAAUACCGCAUAAAAGUCGAUAUCGCAUGAUAUUGAUUUGAAAGGUGCAAAUGCAUCACUAAGAGAUGGACCUGCGUUGUAUUAGCUAGUUGGUGAGGUAACGGCUCACCAAGGCGACGAUACAUAGCCGACCUGAGAGGGUGAUCGGCCACACUGGGACUGAGACACGGCCCAGACUCCUACGGGAGGCAGCAGUAGGGAAUCUUCGGCAAUGGGGGCAACCCUGACCGAGCAACGCCGCGUGAGUGAAGAAGGUUUUCGGAUCGUAAAGCUCUGUUGUAAGAGAAGAACGAGUGUGAGAGUGGUAAGUUCACACUGUGACGGUAACUUACCAGAAAGGGACGGCUAACUACGUG